rnacentral:rRNA from 1 species
UACGUAGGGGGCUAGCGUUGUCCGGAAUCAUUGGGCGUAAAGCGCGUGUAGGCGGUCCGGUAAGUCCGCUGUGAAAGUCGGGGGCUCAACCCUCGGAUGCCGGUGGAUACUGUCGGGCUUGAGUACGGAAGAGGCGAGUGGAAUUUCUGGUGUAGCGGUGAAAUGCGCAGAUAUCAGGAGGAACACCAAUUGCGAAGGCAGCUCGCUGGGACGUUACUGACGCUGAGACGCGAAAGCGUGGGGAGCAAACAGG